CCAUGAACCACGCGACCCUCUUUGUCCUCAUCGCGUGAUGGCUAUGCGAUCAAUCCUCUGAUUUCUCGAAUCUUUAGCGGAUUUUGUAUAUAUCGGGUGUACAUUGUACAGAAACAUAAUGCUCAAAGCUAUCCAAAUGCUGGGUUCAUCUUCCGGGAUCGUUUCGCACCGGUUGAAGCCCCAUGGAAAUUGUGGGCUCUCCUUGGUUUCAGUCUCUUCCAAGCCCUCGCCUUCUUCUCCAACAAGACCCCCAAUGGCUACUUCUUUGAUGAUGCCAGAUUUUUCACUUCUCAAGAGGCGUAAUUUCAUACCGGCUCGGAUGUCAUGUACUCGUUCCGAGUCAAACCCAGAUGCGGCAUCGUCAUCGGCAUCGUCGUCGUCGUCUUCUCCUGUUAGGUUUCAGUCAACUGGGACCACUCGUAAGAUAAAUUUCUGUCAGUCAUGUGGUGGACCCAUGAAGCAUGAGAUACCUGAUGGGGAGGAGAAGUUGAGAGCUAUUUGCACACUUUGCGGGAAAAUUGCCUAUGAGAACCCCAAAAUGGUUGUUGGUUGCCUCAUUGAACAUGAGAACAAGAUUUUACUUUGCAAGCGAAAAAUUCAGCCAUCUUAUGGUCUUUGGACUCUUCCAGCUGGUUACAUGGAGAUUGGAGAGUCUGCUGCAGAAGGAGCAAUCAGAGAAACAUGGGAAGAAGCUACUGCAGAUGUGGAAGUGCUAUCUCCUUUUGCUCAAUUGGACAUCCCUCUUAUAGGCCAAGCCCAGAAUCAUCAGAUUGCCGCCUUUUUUCACUUGAAGAAAUUCCUUUCAAUGCUUUGGCAUUUUCAUCGAUGUUUGUUACUCUAAAUUUGUACAUUGAAGAUAAGAAGGUUGGAGGACCGAAGUUUCACUAUGGCACCAUUAUGAAAAGGCCUGGCUCAAGCCCUUCUGAUAUUCACACUUUUACGCUUGAUUAUCAUUUGUGUUCCUGAUGGGAUAUGAUUCAUGUGACAUUUCUGCUGUUAACCAUGCAGAAUGAAUGGGAUAUCUAAGGUUUGGAUUCGAAUACAGCUUCUUUUCUUGUUACCGUUGUAAAAGCUGCUUCUGGUGUGAUACUAACUGAUGGUUGGAAUACCUAACGAAUGGAUUAAUGUCCCAUUUCAAUGAGGUGUCAUUUUUCGAUUUGGUCACUUAGAUAAUUCCUUGACCAACUUCUUUUUUUUUGUGGCCAAUACUGUAAAACCUGGUGAAUUCUGAUUAAAUGGUACAGCAGCUAACUACUUCACUCAUUCUUUUCAAUUGAUAUUGGAACCCCGUAAAAAUGAGGAAUUUCCUUCCUAUCUCUCUCUCUCUCUAAUUUUCAUUUCUUUCUAGAAGAAUGCACAUUGGUUGAAUCUGGGCUGUCUUCCUGACCAUAUGCAACCUAAUGUAAGAAGAACUGGCAUUGCCCAUUUCCUUGUGUGUUUCGUGCUUGUCCUCCAUCCUGAAGUUUCUGGAAGAUGAUCUCUUCCUUCUACAUAGUUACCUGGACAUCUGGUUCUAUGUCUGUUCUUCUGUACAUGGUUCUCCCUUAAGACAGUCCUCUUUUGCAAUACAGUUUAUUUACUCCCAAAAAAACCCUUAUAAAUCUACUUGUCUUCUUCUAUGGUAAGUGCCUCCCCAUUUAUUUGUUCAAAUUUGGAUUAUGGCUUCUUGAUCAAUCUAUGUCAACCAAUAGAACCAGAUCUGGAAAGCCAAGACAUAUGGAAUUGGAACUGGGAUGGCUCUGCUUCUUGGCAGCAGAUCCCAAAAUGGGGUUGUUAUUGCAGAGACAGAUGAAGAUUUGAGGAUUUGGUGGAAGGCAUUGCUUGUAGUUGCUUUCGUUGACAGACAGACACAGAUUUGGCCCUUUGAAGGGUGUUUUUGUUCAUAUCUUAAAGUACCUUAUCUUAGGUGAAUGAUUCAAGAAAAUGCAUCAUUAUUAUCUUUAGACUUGCAUCUACUAUUAUAUUUAGUGGCUAAAUGGUACCCUACAUUGCUGUCAUUAGACAUAGGUCUUGUAGUGGAUAACUUGUCAACCCCACAAGCC